CCUACGGGGGACAGCAGUGGGGAAUAUUGCACCAUGGGGGAAACCCUGAUGCAGCGACGCCGCGUGAGUGAGGAAGUAUUUCGGUAUGUAAAGUUCUAUCAGCAGGGACGAAAAUGACGGUACCUGACUAAGAAGCACCGGCUAACUACUUGCCAGCAGCAGCGGUGAUACGUAGGGGGCAAGCAUUAUCCGGAUUUACUGGGUGUAAAGGGAGCGUAGACGGCUAAUCAAGUCAGAAGUGAAAACCCAGGGCUCAACCUUAGGACUGCUUUUGAAACUGAGUAGCUAGAGUGCUGGAGAGGUAGGCGGAAUUCCUAGUGUAGCGGUGAAAUGCGUAGAUAUUAGGAGGAACACCAGUGGCGAAGGCGGUUUACUGGACUGUAACUGACGUUGAGGCUCGAAAGCGUGGGGAGCAAACAGGAUUAGAUACCCGAGUAGUC
rnacentral:rRNA from 1 species